rnacentral:rRNA from 1 species
AGAGUUUGAUCCUGGCUCAGGAUGAACGCUGGCGGCGUGCCUAAUACAUGCAAGUCGAGCGAACGGACGAGAAGCUUGCUUCUCUGAUGUUAGCGGCGGACGGGUGAGUAACACGUGGAUAACCUACCUAUAAGACUGGGAUAACUUCGGGAAACCGGAGCUAAUACCGGAUAAUAUUUUGAACCGCAUGGUUCAAAAGUAAAAGACGGUCUUGCUGUCACUUAUAGAUGGAUCCGCGCUGCAUUAGCUAGUUGGUAAGGUAACGGCUUACCAAGGCAACGAUGCAUAGCCGACCUGAGAGGGUGAUCGGCCACACUGGAACUGAGACACGGUCCAGACUCCUACGGGAGGCAGCAGUAGGGAAUCUUCCGCAAUGGGCGAAAGCCUGACGGAGCAACGCCGCGUGAGUGAUGAAGGUCUUCGGAUCGUAAAACUCUGUUAUUAGGGAAGAACAUAUGUGUAAGUAACUGUGCACAUCUUGACGGUACCUAAUCAGAAAGCCACGGCUAACUACGUGCCAGCAGCCGCGGUAAUACGUAGGUGGCAAGCGUUAUCCGGAAUUAUUGGGCGUAAAGCGCGCGUAGGCGGUUUUUUAAGUCUGAUGUGAAAGCCCACGGCUCAACCGUGGAGGGUCAUUGGAAACUGGAAAACUUGAGUGCAGAAGAGGAAAGUGGAAUUCCAUGUGUAGCGGUGAAAUGCGCAGAGAUAUGGAGGAACACCAGUGGCGAAGGCGACUUUCUGGUCUGUAACUGACGCUGAUGUGCGAAAGCGUGGGGAUCAAACAGGAUUAGAUACCCUGGUAGUCCACGCCGUAAACGAUGAGUGCUAAGUGUUAGGGGGGUUCCGCCCCUUAGUGCUGCAGCUAACGCAUUAAGCACUCCGCCUGGGGAGUACGACCGCAAGGUUGAAACUCAAAGGAAUUGACGGGGACCCGCA